rnacentral:antisense_RNA from 1 species
UGGAGUCUGGAGGACCUCUGAUUCCCGACGUUGGUGUUUAAAAGUUAAGGCGAAUGUGGAAACACCCGAGGGGAACUUUCUCAUGCAUUAGCGCACCUUGAGGUGGGAGGGGAAGCUGUGACUGUCCUCCCUCCACCAGCCGUCGCGGGAAGCCAGUGGGGUUCAGUGAAGGAUCCAGGAGUGCAGGUACCCGUCCUGGGCCUGGGCCUUGGCUCCGGGCUGCAGUGUGAGAUCCCGGGCUAGGUGGCCUGCCUGGGGCAGGUCGCCGGGACAGCCCCACUGCCCCGCAAGUCCAACCCGGCCUUGGGCACGCCAAAGGAUUCCUGGCAAGUACAAGCUUCUGACCCCACAGAGGGGCCAUGGUAAACAUUCCAAGGAGUGCAGAAGCCAUGGGUUCAGGGAUUUCAGCCACCGCGUAGAAGACAAGCUGUAACCUAAUUCAGUCACACUUGGCAGCAACCGGUGAAGAGGCUGGCAGUCUGGGCUGUGGGGAGCUCCCCCGUGACAGAUGGAAGGGGUCCCUACAUCUGGAGAGGCUCUAGAACCUCCUCCCCAUGAGGCUAAUGUGGUCUUUGCCAAAUGACAUUCUGGGGUUGGGAUCUGGGAUUUCCUCCAUUGCUUCCUUACAUCAACAUUUGCUAAAGCUCAAAAGACCUUCCACAUAAUGACAUCAGACAGACCUGAAACCACAAUUAAAGUAACGUCCACUUAAUACUUGGUCAGCACUCAUGUUUCAUUUUGUGUGCCUUGGAAAGAAAUACAGGCUCCUGUGCCAUGGGAUGUUAACUCUUUUAUUAAUUUAGGGUUAACAUUGUAUUUGCUUCAUUGAUUUCUCUUUCAGAAUUGUAGAUUCAAUAAACAUCAUCUGGGUUCUCUCCAGCUCACAGGUGACAAGGCAAAUGCACUGUCGUCAAACAGGGGAGCAGGACAAUAUGGAGAAAGACGAGGUCGAAAAAAUUUAAGGCAAAUGUUACUUCCCUAUUCAAGGGAAUUGAUCAAGCAGAUCUGUGCAUUUCAAUGAAAAUAUAUGAAAUAUUUGUCAAAAUAAUUAACAUCGGUAAAAAUUAGAACAUGUAGCUUAUAAAAUGCCUACACAGGUUUGGCAGAAUAAAUCCAACUGUGUCAUGUAGGCUCGUAAUAUACAGACACAGGAGCAUCCACCUUAAAAACGAGUCUUCUGAAGGGCAGAGGCCAAAUGUAUUUUAAAAGCAAUUCCAUAAAAUGGGAAGUGAUGGAUGAUGAACAAUGCAUGGGCUGGCUUUCCAUUUUGUUCAGAGGAAUUGCUUGGCCAUCGGGGCACCUCCUGGCUGGCACAGAAUGCCUCCUGUUGCCCCUCCUCAGAAGGCUCUGCAUCAGGCUGAGGUGGUCGUUCAGGCCAUGAGACUCCUGAAGACACAGACAGAACACGGUAACAAGGAAAGCUCGGCUCGCUCAAAGGAGAACGCUGCGGGGAUAGAAUCUUCUGGUCUGGGUUUGGAAUUUGACUUUCUAAGCCACUGCUGCAGUUUCAGAAGUAGCUGACUAUGUAGAAAUAGAUACUCCGGCCCCAGUGGUCAUACAUUUUAUGCCCUCAAACCUAUCUUAUUUAUAGUCUGACCAAACCGUCCCCAGACUGCUCAGUGGCAGGCAACGAGCAGGUAGACUGCUGGCCCUUUGUCACAUGUGAGGAUGGCCCAGGGUUCGCCGGCUGGGCCGGGGAGAUUUACCACACAGCCGCAGAGAAGCACGGGGAGAAGAGUGAUGUGUGAUGCCAAGCGCCUUUCUUUUCUGCUUUGGUCUUGAAGAUUCAGUAAACUUAUGGUCCCAGAAGCUGCUCCAGAGCCAGAGCUGUGGAUUCCCAGAAUUCAUUUUGUUCCUGUUACAGUUUGUCAGAAGACUGGAGCCGACAAGCAGCAUUUGAGAGGAUAUCACCAUUUUAGGAACACCUCCUUAAGAGCCACCACCCACCUGGCUUGGGUGCCCAGAGAUGCUGCUCCUGGGGAGAUAAAGCUGUCAGGUGCAGGGCACCGCCCCUGAAACAGGCUCUGGCCGACAGUCUGGAGGAAGGUGGGUGGAUGGAUGGAUGGGAGUCCCUGCCCUCUGUGGGCAGCUGGACACCCUUACCCGGCCAGGAGGCACGUGCGGCAGCAGAACUGAAUGAAGAGCUUCCGUUCGCACAGCCGGUUGGACUUCACCAUCUCGCAGAAUGUCUCGUCAGCUGGGGCCCCGCAUCAGGAAAGGAAAAGGAGGGAAAGGUCAGUCUUCGGUGCCUGUCAAGAUUGUUUCAAGGCCGGGCGCGGUGCCUCACGCCUGUAAUCCCAGCACUUUGGGAGGCCAAGGCGGGUGGAUCACCUGAGGUUAGGAGCUUGAGACCAGUCUGACCAACAUGGUGAAACCCCGUCUCUACUAAAAAUACAAAAAUCAGCUGGGCAUGGUGGUGGGCGCCUGUAAUCCCAGCUACUCGGGAGGCUAAUGCAGGAGAACCACUUGAACCCGGAAGGCAGAGGUUGCAGUGAGCUGAGAUCAUGCCAUUGCACUCCAGCCUGGGCAAGAAGAGCAAAACUCCGUCUCAAAAAUAAAUAAAUAAAAAUAAAUAAAUAAA